rnacentral:rRNA from 1 species
GGACUACUGGGGUAUCUAAUCCCGUUCGCUCCCCUAGCUUUCGCCCCUGAGCGUCAGGAAAUAGCCAGGACAUUGCCUUCGCCUUUGGUGUUCCUCCGGAUAUCUACGCAUUUCACCACUCCACCCGGAAUUCCAUGUCCCUCUCUAUCCCUCAAGUGCGUCAGUUUUCAUACCCCCUCCCCGGUUAAGCCGGGGAUUGUCAGUCUGAACUUAGCGCACCGCCUGCGGGCCCUUUACGCCCAGUAACUCCGGACAACGCUUGCCCCCUACGUAUUACCGCGGCUGCUGGCAC